rnacentral:rRNA from 1 species
CAGUCGCCGCGGGAAUACGUAGGUGGCAAGCGUUGUCCGGAAUUAUUGGGCGUAAAGGGCUCGCAGGCGGUUUCUUAAGUCUGAUGUGAAAGCCCCCGGCUCAACCGGGGAGGGUCAUUGGAAACUGGGAAACUUGAGUGCAGAAGAGGAGAGUGGAAUUCCACGUGUAGCGGUGAAAUGCGUAGAGAUGUGGAGGAACACCAGUGGCGAAGGCGACUCUCUGGUCUGUAACUGACGCUGAGGAGCGAAAGCGUGGGGAGCGAACAGAAUUAGAUACCCCCGUAGUCCCUGUCUCUUAUAC